ACAAGUUGACAAGAGCAUCGGGUGGAUGCCUUGGCGUCGGAAGGCGAUGAAAGACGUGGUAAGCUGCGAAAAGCCUCGGGGAGAAGCUAAACAUUCUGUGAUCCGGGGAUUUCUGAAUGGGGAAACCCGGCGGAGGUCAUGCUCCGUCGCGGGCACUUGAAUACAUAAAGUGUCCAGCGCCAACUCAGGGAAGUGAAACAUCUCAGUACCUGAAGGAAAAGAAAUCAAACGAGACUCCCAAAGUAGCGGCGAGCGAAAUGGGAUGAGCCCAAACCGGCUGGAUUCGUUCAGCCGGGGUUGUAGGGCCGGCAUAUGUGAUUCAUGAGUAGGCAGGGGAAAUGAGCUGGAAAGCUCUGCCAGAGCGGGUGACAGCCCCGUACCUGAAACCCAAAGCGACACAGCCGGUACCUGAGUACCGCGAGACACGUGGAACCUCGUGGGAAUCCGGGAGGACCAUCUUCCAAGGCUAAGUACUAACCGACGACCGAUAGUGUACCAGUACCGUGAGGGAAAGGUGAAAAGAACCUCUGUUAGAGGAGUGAAAUAGAAUCUGAAACCUGGUGCUUACAAGCUGUGAGAGCGGACUUGUUCCGUGAUCACGUGCCUUUUGCAUAAUGAGUCAGCGAGUUAAUCUGUACUGCAAGGUUAAGCGCAAGUGGAGCCGUAGGGAAACCGAGUCUGAUAAGGGCGAUGAGUAGUGCGGAUUAGACCCGAAACCGGGUGAUCUAUCCAUGAGCAGGUUGAAGCAAGGGUAAAACCUUGUGGAGGACCGAACCAAUACCGGCUGAAAACGGUUUGGAUGACUUGUGGAUAGGGGUGAAAGGCCAAUCAAACCCGGUGAUAGCUGGUUCUCCCCGAAAUAUAUUGAGGUAUAGCCUCAUGGAUUGUCUACCGGAGGUAAAGCACUGACAGGGCUAGGGGUCCUACCAGAUUACCAAACCCUAUCAAACUCAGAAUGCCGGUCAGAUGUACCAUGGGAGUCAGACGGCGGGUGCUAAGGUCCGUCGUCGAGAGGGUAAGAGCCCAGAUCAACAGCUAAGGUCUCCAAAUCUAUGCUCAGUGGUUAAGGUGGUGACGUUGUAGAGACACCCAGGACGUUGGCUUAGAAGCAGCCAUCGUUUAAAGAAAGCGUAAUAGCUCACUGGUCUAAUGACGUUGCGCCGAAAAUGUAACGGGGCUAAGCAUAGUACCGAAGCUUUGAAUUCCGCGUAUGCGGUCUGGUAGGGGAGCGUUCUUCACGGGCUGAAGGUGUGUCGUAAGGCAUGCUGGACUGUGGAGAAGUGAUUAUGCUGACAUGAGUAACGAUAAAACGGGUGAAAAACCCGUUCGCCGUAAACCCAAGGUUUUCCGGGUAAAGGUAAUCUUCCCGGAGUUAGUCGGCCCCUAAGGCGAGGCUGAAAGGCGUAGCUGAUGGGAAACGUGUUAAUAUUCACGUACUUGUGUGUUCGCGCGAUGAAGGGACGCAGGAAGAUAGGCAAGCCGGGCGCUGGUUGUCCCGGUGCAAGCGUGUAGGGAUGAAGAGUUGGCAAAUCCGCUCUUCUCUAUCCUGAGACGCGAGUCCGUGACCGAAAGGUCUGAAGUUGUUGAGUCUAUGCUGCCUAGAAAAGCUUCUAAGUAUAGGACACGCAAACCGUACCGGAAACCAACUCAGGUGGGUGGGAUGAAUAAUCCAAGGCGCUCGAGAGAACUCUGGCCAAGGAACUCGGCAAAAUAACCCCGUACCUUCGGAAGAAGGGGUGCUUUUUAGGGUGAAGCGAUUCACUCUGUCGAGCCCUGAAAAGCCGCAGAGAAAUGGUGGUGGCGACUGUUUACUAAAAACAUAGGUCUGUGCCAAGUCGUAUAGACGACGUAUACGGACUGACGCCUGCCCGGUGCUGGAAGGUUAAAAGGAGGAGUCAGCGCAAGCGAAGCUCCGAAUUGAAGCCCCAGUAAACGGCGGCCGUAACUAUAACGGUCCUAAGGUAGCGAAAUUCCUUGUCGGGUA
rnacentral:rRNA from 1 species